rnacentral:lncRNA from 1 species
GUAUUUCUCUGUGGACUACUACCAAUAAGUUUUGCAUCUUCAAAUGAUUUCUUAUUGCUCAUUAACAUCCUUUUAUUUCAGAUUGAAGAACUCCAGUUAGCAUUUCUUUUAGGACAGGUUCAGUGUUAAUAAAAUCCACCAUCUUUUGUUUGUCUGGAAAAUUAUUUAUUUCUCCGUCAUGUUUGAAGGAUAUUUUUUCUGGAUAUACUAUUUUAGGAUAAAAGAAUUUUUCUUCAGCACUUUAAAUAUGUCAUGACUCUCUCUCAGCCUGUAAAUUUCCCACUGAGAAGUCUGCUGCCAAAUAUAUUGGAGCUACUUGGUAUGUUAGUUGCUUCUUUUCUGUUGCUGCUUUUAGGAUCCUUUCCUUAUCCUUGACAUAUGGAAUUUUGAUUAUUAAAUGUCCUGCAUAGUCUUAAGGGGGUCAAAUCUGCUUUGUAUCCUGUAGCUUUCUUGUACUCAAAUAUUAAUAUCUUUCUCUAAAUUGGGAAAGUUUUCUUUUAUUAUCCCUUUAAAUAAAAUUUUUAACCCUAUCUCUCUCUCUACCUUGUCUGUAAGGCCAACAACUGGUAGAUUAGCCAUUUUGAGCCUAUUUUCUAGGUUUUGUAGUUAUCUUUCAUUCUUGUUUAGCCUUUUUUCUUUUGCUCCUCUGUGUAUUUUCAAAUAGCUUGUCUUCAAGUUCACUGAUUCUUUCUUCUGCUUGAUCAGUUCUGCUAAUGACAGUCCCCAAUGCAUUCUUCCAUAUGUCAAUUAAAUUUUUCAGCUCUAGCAUAUCUACUUGAUAUUUUUAAAACAUUUAGAUCUCUUUGUUAAAUUUCUGUGAUAGAAUUUUGAAUUUCUCCUCUAGCUUACCUUGAAUUUUGUUGAUCUCCCUCAAAACAGCUAUUUUGAAUUCCCUGUCUGAAAGGUUAUGUAUCUUUGUCACUCUAGGAUUGGUUGUUUGUGCCUUAUUUAGUUCAGUUGGUGAGGUCAUAUUUUCCUGGAUUAUCUUGAUGCUUGUUGAUGUUCAUGGCACCCAAGUCCUGUGGCAAGUGCUGCCUGGCUAUCAUUGAUAUUUAUUCAAGGCCCAAGGUCUCUUUAGUCAGCAAAUGAUGAAUCCUGCAGGAACUGGGUUCUUCUCUUCAAGGCAGCGGGCUCCUUUCUGUCACAAGGUGUGCCUAUAAAUGUCAUCUGGGAGCUAGAGCC